rnacentral:rRNA from 1 species
GAUGAACGCUGGCGGCGUGCCUAAUACAUGCAAGUCGAGCGAACAGACGAGGAGCUUGCUCCUUUGACGUUAGCGGCGGACGGGUGAGUAACACGUGGGUAACCUACCUAUAAGACUGGGAUAACUUCGGGAAACCGGAGCUAAUACCGGAUAAUAUUUCGAACCGCAUGGUUCGAUAGUUAAAGAUGGCUUUGCUAUCACUUAUAGAUGGACCGGCGCCGUAUUAGCUAGUUGGUAAGGUAACGGCUUACCAAGGCAACGAUACGUAGCCGACCUGAGAGGGUGAUCGGCCACACUGGAGCUGAGACACGGUCCAGACUCCUACGGGAGGCAGCAGUAGGGAAUCUUCCGCAAUGGGCGAAAGCCUGACGGAGCAACGCCGCGUGAGUGAUGAAGGUCUUCGGAUCGUAAAACUCUGUUAUUAGGGAAGAACAAACGUGUAAGUAACUGUGCACGUCUUGACGGUACCUAAUCAGAAAGCCACGGCUAACUACGUG